rnacentral:rRNA from 1 species
GACGAACGCUGGCGGCGUGCCUAAUACAUGCAAGUCGAACGCAAUGGGGACGGGUGAGUAACACGUGGGUAACCUCCCAUCAGAGGGGAUACCACUUGGAAACAGGUGCUAAACCGAUACUGAUGGAUGGACCCGCGGUGCAUUAGCUAGUUGGUGAGGUAACGGCUCACCAAGGCCACGAUGCAUAGCGGACCGGAUAGGGGGAUCGGCCACACUGGGACUGAGACACGGCCCAGACUCGUACGGGAGGCAGAAGUAGGGAAUGUGCGGCAAGGGACGAAAGUCUGCUCGAGCACCGCCGCGUGAGUGAAGAAGGUUGUCGGAUCGGAAAACUCUGUUGUGAGAGAAGCGGUAUCGAACCAGAAAGCAACGGCUAACUACGUGCCAGCAGCCGCGGUAAUUC